AGAGUUUGAUCAUGGCUCAGAACGUACGCUGGCGGCACGCCUAACACAUGCAAGUCGAACGAAGUAGCAAUACUUAGUGGCAGACGGGUGAGUAACAUGUAGGUAUCUGCCCUUUGGCCUGGAAUAACACGAGGAAACUUGUGCUAAUACCGGAUAAGUCUUUACGGAGAAAGCUUUAUGCACCAUUGGAUGAGCCUGCACAUGAUUAGUUUGUUGGUGGGGUAAUGGCCUACCAGGACUGUGAUCAAUAGCUGAUUUGAGAGGAUGAUCAGCCACAUUGGGACUGAGACACGGCCCAAACUCCUACGGGAGGCAGCAGUGGGGAAUCUUGCACAAUGGAGGAAACUCUGAUGCAGCGAUGCCGCGUGAGUGAAGAAGGCCUUUGGGUUGUAAAGCUCUUUCGUCGGGGAAGAAAAUGACUGUACCCGAAUAAGAAGGUCCGGCUAACUUCGUGCCAGCAGCCGCGGUAAUACGAAGGGACCUAGCGUAGUUCGGAAUUACUGGGCUUAAAGAGUUCGUAGGUGGUUGAAAAAGUUGGUGGUGAAAUCCCAGAGCUUAACUCUGGAACUGCCAUCAAAACUUUUCAGCUAGAGUAUGAUAGAGGAAAGCAGAAUUUCUAGUGUAGAGGUGAAAUUCGUAGAUAUUAGAAAGAAUACCAAUUGCGAAGGCAGCUUUCUGGAUCAUUACUGACACUGAGGAACGAAAGCAUGGGUAGCGAAGAGGAUUAGAUACCCUCGUAGUCCAUGCCGUAAACGAUGUGUGUUAGACGUUGGAAAUUUAUUUUCAGUGUCGCAGCGAAAGCGAUAAACACACCGCCUGGGGAGUACGACCGCAAGGUUAAAACUCAAAUGAAUUGACGGG
rnacentral:rRNA from 1 species